GCGCCUCAAGAUUUCGCUGUGAUCGAACCAGCUCUCCCAUCCAGUGUGUCGAAAGUAGUCCAAUUGUGAUCUCAAGAUUUCCUCUCUCAUCUCCGCGCCUCACUUUUCCUCUCUCACCCAAUCUGUUUUUCUCUCUCGAAUUUCCGAAAUCCGGACAAAAUCUGAAGGAUUGCUCGAUUGUACGUCUUAAAUCUACAACCCAAGCAAGCCAUCGAGUGCUUUUGAGGUUCUGAUUAAAGUCUCUGGGAGUCGGUCUCUAUUUCGAAGCUCUAGGUUCUUUUCCUUCUACUUGAUUGAAGGCACCUGUAUGCACCUAAUUGGAGCAACUUUGGAGUAGAGAAAACUCUCUGUAAUAAUCAAUAUCUUGGUCGAUAGUCUACAAAGGCUGAAGAGAAAGAACAUGUUGAGAAUUCAAAGUAUAAGGAUUUGGUGCUAAAAUUGCAGGUACAGACUGUUGUUGCUUGAACCAGCCAAAUUGGUGGGAAAGAAGUGUUUAGAAGUGCUCUACAUCACAGAUUUUAUGCAAAAGGUUCUCCAACUCACCUGUUUGCUACUGUUCCUCACUUUGGUCUUCUGCAUUAACUUAGUUGCUUUUUGUUACACA